CGUGAACCAACCACAUCAACAUCAGAGCCUUCUGAGAACAGCACGCCAUGAACCCCUCAGGUCAAACCACCUGCCAGGAUUAGGAGCUGCUCGCUGAUGAAGUGUGAGUUAGAGGUCUGCUCAUCGUGAGAGAACGAACUAAUUAACAGGCCAGCCACAAGAAGCAGGCAGGCAUUCCCAAGGACCUUGACGGCGGAGUGAGAUCAAGCGCCGGCUGCCUCAGGGCUGCCAGCAGCUAGGGUCUUUGAUGUGGAGCGCAGAGGCACGCUAACGAAGGCAGGAUGAGAGGACGGGACUGCAGAGGAUUGACGUGGGAAUGAGGUAGAGAACUUCGCAGAUAUGGCAAGAGGACUGCAAAAAAUCAGCAAGGAUUUCCCAAAGAGUCCAGGCAGCAGCUGACAUGUGUGUCCUCUCUCUCACAGUAACUGUCUCAAUGCAGUGAACUCACAACCACACACACGCACGCACAAUAAUUUUCUCUCUCUCUCUCUCUCUCUCUCACACACACACACACACACACACACACUCUCUCUCUCUCUCUCUCUCUCUCUCUCCACUCAGCGCAAAAAAAAAAGAGAAAGAAAAGUAAAUAAACUGUACAGGUCACAUUUACAUGAAGAUGUAAAAUGUUACAAAGAUCUCCUAAAAAAUAAAUACAUCACUUUAUUUUUUGUUUUUUUUCCCCCACUGAAACAAUAUACAGAGAAAAACAGAGAAGAAGAGAGAGAGAGAAAAAAAAAACAACAACGCACAAACAUACGUAUAAACAAACAAGACGAAAACAAACACUUGAGAAUUAGAGAAGAAAAAAAAAAA
ensembl:lncRNA